rnacentral:rRNA from 1 species
CGAACAGAAGGGAGCUUGCUCCCGGAUGUUAGCGGCGGACGGGUGAGUAACACGUGGGUAACCUGCCUGUAAGACUGGGAUAACUCCGGGAAACCGGAGCUAAUACCGGAUAGUUCCUUGAACCGCAUGGUUCAAGGAUGAAAGACGGUUUCGGCUGUCACUUACAGAUGGACCCGCGGCGCAUUAGCUAGUUGGUGGGGUAAUGGCUCACCAAGGCGACGAUGCGUAGCCGACCUGAGAGGGUGAUCGGCCACACUGGGACUGAGACACGGCCCAGACUCCUACGGGAGGCAGCAGUAGGGAAUCUUCCGCAAUGGACGAAAGUCUGACGGAGCAACGCCGCGUGAGUGAUGAAGGUUUUCGGAUCGUAAAGCUCUGUUGUUAGGGAAGAACAAGUGCGAGAGUAACUGCUCGCACCUG